UGUGUGUGUGUGUGUAUGUGUGUGUGUGUGUGUGUUUAGAGCACAACCCUCCCCAGCAUCUGUUACAGUAUCCAGGGUGUAUAAUGUAAGUGCUUCAAAAAGCACACACAGGGAAGCAAUAGUGUGUGUGUUCAUGUAAUAUCUUGGUCAGUGAGUCAGUCUCAAUGUCACCAGAGAGGGGUCAGUGCCCCCCUCCCUGUUCCCCCGACCUGGUUCCCACCCGGGGCCGUUUCUGUGAUGUUCUUUGGCUGCGGUGCCCUUUUUCCUUCCGUUCAAACAAACAGGUAGCGCAGGAAGCCGCGUCACUGCACUCCUUUUCCAGAGGAAGGGCUGCGGCGUGUUGGACCCCUAGAACCGCUUGCACCUAGAGGUUCAGCCCCAUCGGCGCUGAUUGUCCUUCUCCACCCUUCUUCCUUGUGGAAGUCAUGCCAGCGAAAGAUCUCCGCGGCUGUGGACAGCAUCCGCCUUCUUUGUCACACAGCUCCGUUCGGCUCGGACUCAGGUCCGCGUCAGCCGUUUCACUUUGCAGAGUGUGUGAGGAAUCCAGUGGCGUACGUGGGGAAGUACGCUGUCCACUCAUGGACAUCUCUAUCCGAAGAAGGAGCGGCAACGGUCAUGCUGAAAUAUGCCCGACAUCCCUCAGUGCCGAUAGAAGUGCUUGUGUUUGUGACGAAUGAAACACAGCGAGUGCGGCCAAGACCCCCAUGGGGUUUUUUCUUCGUCCACUUCAAGUGACAUUUUGAAAGCCAGUAAGAAGAGCAGACAGGAGAGACAACCAAGAGCAAGACCAUCCCCAUACCCGGUCCAACCACAAGUGUCUCUACACCUGGUCCAACCAAGACUUUCCCUAUACCCAAUCCAACCACAUCUGUCUCUGCACUACGUCCAACCAGGACUGCUUUUGUGCCUGGUCCAACCAGGACUGUCUCUACACCUGGUCCAACCACUAGUGUCUCUACACCUGGUCCAAUCAAGACCAUCUCUAUACCAGGUCCAACCACAAGGGUCUCUACAUCCGGUCCAACCAGGACCGUCUCCACAUUUGACCUAAUUUAAUUCAGUCUACAAUUUCUUUUAAAAGAUGACUGGGAGGAAAUGAUUAAGGAAACACGAGAGACAUUUCUACAAUUGUGGAGCAAAUGUUUCCAUUGUUAUUUUUGCUAGAAAACUCCCAUGGUUUUGACCACUGACCUCUCUUUCUAGGGUACAAAGAUAAAUGGAAGUGAUUUUCCCAAGGACUUCAAGAAGAAGGACACUUUUGGAAGGGGUAUUAUGAACUCCAGAAAUAAAUCAUAUUAUUUCUCUGGUGCUGGUAACUGAGCCCUUCCUCCGAACCCCCAUGGACACCCACACAAAAUCCAACCGUGAUACACAACUUGGCCCCAGGACCCAUCAGAGGUCUUACAAACUAUUGAAA